CAGAGCAGGUUGCACAUUGGUCCUGGGUGGCUCGCAGGCUCAGGUCGUGCUUGGGCGUCCUCCUCCUAAUCGUUUCUGAAGUAGCAGUUCCAGCAGCAGCAGCGGCAGCCGCAAGCAGCGGCAGCCGCGGCAGCAGCGGCAGCGGCGCCUCCGCAGCAAAGCCUGAACUGUGCAGAAGCAGCGAGCACCGUUUGGGGAGUCGGGGGGCGGGUAAGAGGGAGGAGGGAGAAAGCCUGGCUAGAUCUUUGGGAUUAUUUUUUCCCCCUUCUUUCCCUCUCUCUCUUUCUGGAGGGUGUGUGUUGUCCCCUCGAAGUGAAGGAAUUUUGCUCCAAAGCGAGCUGGGACCGAAGACUCUAGGCUAAGUUCUCUCUCUAUGUAGAUGGUGUCAGGGAGCGAAGCUACUGACCGAGCUGCUGUUACACCUGCUCUUUGCUGCUGACACCCACUGGAACUUGCUCUACUUCUUGGGUUGGCCAGUGAGCACUCCCAGAAACGCAGCUGAGUUCUACAUCAGACAUCCACCCACUUGGUGGGUAAAGUGACAGGUGUCACAACUCCAGCCUCCCCUUUUCUGAAAGUCGCGGAGUUCUAUUUCAUCUGGAAUAAUGGAUGUAAAGGACCGGCGACAUCGCUCUUUGACCAGGGGACGGUGUGGCAAAGAGUGUCGCUACACCAGCUCCUCUCUGGACAGUGAGGACUGCCGUGUGCCCACUCAGAAGUCCUACAGUUCCAGCGAGACCUUGAAGGCUUAUGACCAUGACAGCAGAAUGCACUAUGGAAACCGAGUCACAGACCUGGUGCACCGGGAGUCCGAUGAGUUUUCUAG